rnacentral:rRNA from 1 species
CGUGUAGGCGGCCAGUCAAGUCAGAUGUGAAAUCCCUGAGCUUAACUCAGGAAUUGCAUCUGAAACUGAUUGGCUCGAGUACAGGAGAGGAAGGUGGAAUUCCUGGUGUAGAGGUGAAAUUCGUAGAUAUCGGGAAGAACACCGGUGGCGAAGGCGGCCUUCUGGCCUGAUACUGACGCUGAGACGCGAAAGCGUGGGGAGCAAACA